rnacentral:rRNA from 1 species
CCUACGGGAGGCAGCAGUGAGGAAUAUUGGUCAAUGGCCGGAAGGCUGAUCCAGCCAAGCCGCGUGAAGGACGAAUGUGCCACGCAUUGUAAACUUCUUUUGUCAAGGGAUAAAAUCAGGCACGAGUGCCUUAUCGUGGGUACUUUAAGAAAAAGCAUCGGCUAACUCCGUGCCAGCAGCCGCGGUAAUACGGAGGAUGCGAGCGUUAUCCGGAUUUAUUGGGUUUAAAGGGUGCGUAGGCGGAUUGUUAAGUCAGGGGGAAAAGCGCGGGGCUAAACCCCAUAGAGCCGUUGAGACUGGCAGUCUUGAGAUGACGUGAGGUAGGCGGAAUGCGUAGUGUAGCGGUGAAAUGCUUAGAUAUUGCGAAGAACUCCGAUUGCGAAGGCAGCAUACC